rnacentral:misc_RNA from 1 species
AAAGAUUUGUCAAAGAGUGGAAGAGUUACCUCGAAUAUGAGGCUGAAGUUAUGAAGGAUGUGCCUGGUUGGAAAGUUGGUGAAAGUGUCUACAACUCUGGAAAAUGGAUGCCUCCAGCAACUGGCGAGCUACGACCCGAAGUCUGGUGAUUUUGUUUCAAACAGACUCAUUUGUGGUUGACAUGUAGUCUGAGUUUGUAUGAUUGCGACUUAUCCUCAUAUGCGUUUCUUGAUUUGCUGGUUCAUGGCCCUCCUUAUGAAAAUAAAAGAAG